UGUCAAAGGAAAUACUUAGAAUCAUGUUCGACAAAGGAAUGCCAGAGCCCAUCUGAUUUGUCUUAUCGAGGUUGUACAAUUGAGGAUCUUGCUAUUGACUUCACUGUCCCCGGCUAUCCAGAGUAUGUGCUUUCUCUGGAGAGUAGCUCAGAUAAUGUAACCGCUGAGAAUUUGGAAGAAUAUGUUUCUUUUGUUGUCGAGGCAACAGUUAAAAAUGGAAUCUCAAGACAACUGGAAGCUUUUAAGUCAGGAUUUAAUCAGGUAUUUCCACUAAGCACACUUCGG